CCUACGGGAGGCAGCAGUGGGGAAUUUUGCGCAAUGGGGGCAACCCUGACGCAGCAACGCCGCGUGAGUGAUGAAGGCCUUCGGGUCGUAAAGCUCUGUCAGAGGGGAAGAAAUGCAGGUGGUGAACAACCAUUCUGUUUGACGGUACCCUCAAAGGAAGCACCGGCUAACUCCGUGCCAGCAGCCGCGGUAAGACAGAGGCGGCGAGCGUUACCCGGAUUCACUGGGCGUAAAGGACGCGUAGGCGGUCGGACGUGUCGUCCGUGAAAGCCCCCGGCUUAACUGGGGAAGGUCGGGCGAAACUGUUCGGCUGGGGUGCAGGAGAGGGGAGCGGAACUACUAGAGUAGCGGUGAAAUGCGCAGAUACUAGUAGGUACUCCGAUAGCGAAGGCAGCUCCCUGGCCUGCCACCGACGCUGAGGCGUGAAAGCGUGGGGAGCAAAAGGGAUUAGAUACCCUUGUAGU
rnacentral:rRNA from 1 species